CCUCAAAGGAUCCUCCUGUCUGGGUCUCUCAAACUGCUGGGAAUACAAGCAUGAGCCACCACAGCUGACGAACAGCUAUUUUUGAAUAAAGUAAAGGAAGAGAGGGAGGGAGAGAAGAAGGAAGAAGAAAAAAAAGAAAAGAAGUGAAGGAGGGUGAACUACAGCCAAAGAAAAAGAAGCAGCCCAACAGAGAGCUCAGGAAAAUUACACUUCAUACAUCCAACUGCUAUGGAAGAGGAUGGAGGUGAGAAGCGGAGGGAGAAAGAAGGAUGUGAUAUUCCAUCCCCAUUAAGAAAAUUUUUCAAG
rnacentral:lncRNA from 1 species